rnacentral:rRNA from 1 species
UACGGAGGGUGCAAGCGUUAAUCGGAAUUACUGGGCGUAAAGCGUACGUAGGCGGCUUGUUAAGCAAGAUGUGAAAUCCCCGGGCUCAACCUGGGAAUGGCAUUUUGAACUGGCAGGCUCGAGUUCUGAAGAGGGUGGUAGAAUUUCCAGUGUAGCGGUGAAAUGCGUAGAUAUAUGGAGGAACGCCGGUGGCGAAGGCGGCUUCCUGGCCCGUUACUGACGCUGAGGCACGAAAGCCAGGGGAGCGAACCGG